UGAUGGUUUCAAAAGAACAAAAAGUAUGGCAUUUUUUAUUCUUUUUUGUAAUAACUAUGGUAAUAACUAUGGAAAACACCAUUUCAACAUAUAGCAUGUCAAUCUACAACUUAAAAUGAACUUAAGUAUCUUUGACCAAGGAAACAACAACAACAACAAAGCCUUAUCCCACCAGGUGAGAUCAGCUACAUGGAUCACAUGACGCCAUUCGGCAUCGCUAAAAAUCAAAGUUUCAGAAAUAUUAUAAGUCUAAGAUAUCCAACUUUUGGAUUUGUUAUUUCCUUUAGCAAAGAUAUCACUUCCGUAACUUUUUUCCUUCAAAACUUCUCAUCCAUCAUUGGCCAGCCUUAGUGUGUAUCAGGGAAUUGGUGAAAUUUGCUUACUCCCGGGUAUGGCCAGCCUAUACAAGUGUUUUCCCACACCUAGAGGUCUUGGGUAGUUAUCUCCCAAUUGCAAAGCGUAGUGGGGCAAGUGGGGAGCAUAUAGUGGACAAUUGUAAGUGUUAUGCACGUUAUGGAUAUGAUUUAAACAUAAAUGCUAAAAUAUAACGCAUAACAAGUGAUAGGAGUUGGAUUGAGCCUGUGGUAGACAACUAUAUAAUAAAUAAUGUCUGGUGGCAAUUUUCAAAUUGUAGAGCUGACUAAACUAUAUUUAGAAUAAAAUAUCAUCAUAGUUGAUCCACACAAUUCCACUAUUAGGCACAAUGAAUCAAACAAUUAAAAUUUGAGUAACUACAUGCAAAACUUAACUUCAAAAGUCAAUGAUAACUAUCUGGCAUUUCUACAAACACUUCCGAUGAAAUAUACAUAUAUAGUUUGAGUUCAGUAUCAGACUUCAGAUGCAUGACAAAGGGCUCAAUAUUAUUUCUGGCAAAAAAGUUAGGUUGCUAUCUGGGCUAUGGCAGAUUAAUUGUUCGUGCUUUUGAAACACAAAUAUCAUCAAUGCUAUUGCAGGACAGUUGAAUUUCAAACCAAACCUCUGUGCUCAUCGGAAGCAUCAUGAUACACCUCAUGCUCCUCCUCCGGCACAGGCGGAAGCUCCACCGGUUCCCCAACCUGCACAACAAGA